AGUAACGCGUGAGGAACCUGCCUUCCAGAGGGGGACAACAGUUGGAAACGACUGCUAAUACCGCAUGACACAUGACCGUGGCAUUACGGACAUGGUCAAAGAUUUUAGUCGCUGGAAGAUGGCCUCGCGUCUGAUUAGCUGGUAGGCGGGGUAACGGCCCACCUAGGCGACGAUCAGUAGCCGGACUGAGGAGGUUGACCGGCCACACUUGGGACUGAGAUACGGCCCAGACUCCUACGGAAGGCAGCAG
rnacentral:rRNA from 1 species